AACUCCCUUCAAACCAAGACGGCCAUCAACGCCCCACCUCUCUCGUCUUCUAUCCGGUGGAGCUCGGAUUCCGACGGGGUUUAGCGGCGGCGAUGGGAAGAGCCCCGGCGGGGUGACGCCAAGAGCCCGGGCGACGUCGAUGGCCGGGAGGAGGGCGGGAUCAGGUGUGGUGCUGUGUCUCGUUCUUCUGAUGAGCUUCUGGCUGUGCUUCGACUGUAGGAAGGUGGCAAUUCGGACAUUCUCGGCCGACUCCAAUGCUUACCGAAGAGAGAGGACGCCAGUUAUAGGGAGGAGACCCGUCCCUAUCGGCCCUCCUCCGCUUCCGGCAACGGCGGAGAGGGGUGGUAUGGAAGAAAGUAAGCGGCGGGUGCCGAGCUGCCCGGAUCCGCUCCACAACAGUUUGGUGUAUAGGUAAUGGAGUGAAGAGAAGAAGAGAAAGGCUUUGUAUUGGGAGAAUCUCCUACACUGAAUGAUAUGUUGAUAAAUCUUUGGGAUUAGGAACGAAAUUGAGGGAGAUUCUUAGCAUACAGAGCUUGGCUCCAUGUUCAGAAAUAGCAAGUGCAAGAAAUAAAACAUUAUCUUUCCUAUUUGUUUGAA